UACGGAGGGUGCAAGCGUUAAUCGGAAUUACUGGGCGUAAAGCGUGCGCAGGCGGUGAUGUAAGACAGGUGUGAAAUCCCCGGGCUUAACCUGGGAACUGCAUUUGUGACUGCAUCGCUGGAGUGCGGCAGAGGGGGAUGGAAUUCCGCGUGUAGCAGUGAAAUGCGUAGAUAUGCGGAGGAACACCGAUGGCGAAGGCAAUCCCCUGGGCCUGCACUGACGCUCAUGCACGAAAGCGUGGGGAGCAAACAGG
rnacentral:rRNA from 1 species